UGGGGAAUUUUGGACAAUGGGCGCAAGCCUGAUCCAGCAAUGCCGCGUGCAGGAUGAAGGCCUUCGGGUUGUAAACUGCUUUUGUACGGAGCAAAAGGUCUGCCCUAAUACGGUGGGCUCAUGACGGUACCGUAAGAAUAAGCACCGGCUAACUACGUGCCAGCAGCCGCGGUAAUACGUAGGGUGCGAGCGUUAAUCGGAAUUACUGGGCGUAAAGCGUGCGCAGGCGGUUAUAUAAGACAGAUGUGAAAUCCCCGGGCUCAACCUGGGACCUGCAUUUGUGACUGCAUAGCUAGAGUACGGUAGAGGGGGAUGGGAUUCCGCGUGUAGCAGUGAAAUGCGUAGAUAUGCGGAGGAACACCGAUGGCGAAGGCAAUCCCCUGGACCUGUACUGACGCUCAUGCACGAAAGCGUGGGGAGCAAACA
rnacentral:rRNA from 1 species